CCCUUAGAUGUCCUGGGCCGCACGCGCGCGACACUGAGUGUCUGAGAUACGAGUCUGCCUGGUCCGGCAAGGUCUAGGUAAUCGCUAAAAGACACAUCAUGCUUGGGAUAGAUUAUUGCAAAUAUUAAUCUUGAACGAGGAAUUCCUAGUAAGCGCAAGUCAACAGCUUGCGUUGAUUACGUCCCUGCCCUUUGUACACACCGCCCGUCGCUACUACUGAUUGGAUGUUUAAGCGAGGUUCUCGAACUGCUAGCGACUUAGCUUCGGUGAGGUCGCAGUGUGGGAAGUGAACCUAGCUUUGGUGUCUAGAGGAAGUAAAAGUCGUAACA
rnacentral:rRNA from 1 species